rnacentral:rRNA from 1 species
UACGUAGGGUGCGAGCGUUAAUCGGAAUUACUGGGCGUAAAGCGUGCGCAGGCGGUUACAUAAGACAGAUGUGAAAUCCCCGGGCUUAACCUGGGAACUGCGUUUGUGACUGUGUGACUAGAGUACGGCAGAGGGGGGUGGAAUUCCUGGUGUAGCAGUGAAAUGCGUAGAUAUCAGGAGGAACAUCGAUGGCGAAGGCAGCCCCCUGGGCCUGUACUGACGCUCAUGCACGAAAGCGUGGGGAGCGAACAGG